ensembl:misc_RNA Metazoa_SRP Metazoan signal recognition particle RNA
GCCAGGCGUGGUGGUGCAUGCCUGUAGUCCCAGCUACUGGGCAGGCUGAGGCAGAAGGAUUGCUUAAGCCCAGGAGUUCAAGGGUGCAGUGAGCUGUGAUCGUGCCACUGCACUCCAGCCUGGGCAAGAGAGUGAGACUCUGUCUCAA